rnacentral:lncRNA from 10 species
GCCUCACUAGAAGAUGAACAGAUGCCAACACCAUGCUUCCUGUAAAAUCUUCAGAACUUAAUGUUCCUGUCUUGCCAUGAACAUGAGAGAGUUUAUCAGCCAAGAAUUGUAACAUAGCAACAACAGAAACUUUCUUUGACCAACAUAAGAAGGAAAGGACUUUAUUAAAGGGCUUUUAGAGAACUACAGAAUCACCACCAGGAAGGUUGGAGAACCGGUUGCAGAAAAUGAGCCACGGCAAGGAAGGCUCGGCCACCAGGACCUCAGCUAAAAUUGUGCCCAAUAUGAGUUUGGCAGGCAUUGCUAUUGUUACUCAUGAAUGCUAGAUAUUCCAGCUUACACCCCUCCUGUGGUCACCUUGGGUACUGCUGCCCUGGUAUAUGGACAUUGCUGCCACCAUUGCCACUGUCGGCCAGAAUGUGUUCUCUGGAGCCCCAUUUCUGUGUAUUCUUUCUUUUCAAUUAAAUGAUGUGUGCAUUUAAUUUGCUGAGACCAGGACAUGUGCCAACUUCCAAAAUGCAAGUGGGG